UUUGUUCAUUGCGGAUGGCGGAGCAGAAUUCUCACGUGCGCUAAAGCCACAUACCAGCUCAAUUGGACUCCUCUUCUCACCAGUCUCUCUUACCAUUUCCCUCGCUGCAAUGCUGCAUCUCUUUCCUCCCUCCAACCACCCGGACCACCAGCCGUGCACUCUGCUGAUUCUCCAUGCUUCGUCUGUAAUGUCGGUAUGCUUCACAGUAGGACACCGUUGUUUUGCAGUUUGUCACAAAAGCUCGGAUAGCUGUUACUAGUCACGGCAUCUGUUCUUCUCCAUGGGCAUUUUAUCUGAAAUAAAACUUCAGAUUGCGUGGUCUGGGGAGGCACAUCAUACAAAUGAGCAACUUGAAUGUUGGUGUUCAUUUCGGUAGCUGCUGUAUCAGACCUCGUCUGAUGGGGAAAUCCGUCAAUGCGACUAUUUCUGAAGAGGCUGUUUUAAGAUAACUGCUCUAAAUUAGUGCCCCGUGUGACCACCGUCUUACGACCUUCAUUACACGAGUGCCUCGUGCAUUCAGGAUGGUUGUAAAUAGAAAUAGAGAUACGUUACUUCCUUCAAUGAUAGCUGUAGCAGUUUUGGUUUAGUAUUUCAAAGAUGUCGCUACAGGAUGCUUGAGGCUGUUCCCGUUGAAGCCAGAGGCAGAGCUUUUAUUGAUUUCAAUGAGAAUGACGACAGUACCAGGUUCCUUAGGCUAUUUGAAACUAUACAAAUAUUUGGAUGGAAAAUAUGGGCAAGAACUUGAAUAACAUUUUCAUUUGGAGUCAUGGCUAGGCAGAUGGUGUGCUGAAUUCUGUGAUACACUUCAAUGUGACAUUUAUGUAGGAAUAGAUACUUUAUUUAUAAAUUAAAACUUUUGAAGGCCACUGCAGUCUUGCAUUUAGAUGACAGUUUGGAGUGCUGACAGGGAAUUGAAGUUCCCCUCUCCCUGCUGCCGUUAUCCACGGGAGAAGGCACAAAUGGAGCUUUCCCUACUGGAGACACUUACAUUUCAGUUCUCCCUUGAAAAAAAUGUUUAAAAAGCAGUUUCUCAAUGUGAGCCUUUAAUGUUAUUUUCAAAGGCUGAGGUUUGAAACUGAGAAGAGGUUUGGUUUCCAGUGUAUUGCCACCAGGGCUGAAAUUACACUGCCACAGCUAUGGAAGGUCAUUUUUAUUUAGUCAGUUCUCUCAUCAUCAGAGGUAGUGUACUGGGGUGGGACCAUUACUGAACCAUUAGGGCUCUGUCAUUUAACUUUGCUCUCCUGUCAUGAGAAGGGUGAGGGCAUGUCGGUUUGUGCUUUGGGACGUAGCACAGACACAAUGCCAGCUCUCAAAGGUCUGCAAAACUAAGGUUUUUGCAGCAGGUUUCAUUCAGUCUGUUUUUUUUUCUGCUGCUGUGAAGUUUCCAGUCUCACAGAAAAUCAAAUGCAAUUUGGUUAUUCAUCUUCAUUUGCCUUUUGUUCAUAAAGGUUAGCAUCAUUUUACACUUGAUUAUGAGAUCUUUGCAAGAAACCUGAUUUUUUUUACAUCAGUUUGCCUUUAAAAAAGUAGAAACCAUUAGGUAACGCAGAGGAAGAGUCGAAUCCCUCUCCAUGGCAAUCAUCUGUGUCAUUCUUCUGCCUUAUUUGAUUCUGACAAAACCCCUAAGGUUAAUAGGACAUGUCCAACGUAACAUGGUCUUCCUCAUGCACUUAGUUCAUGCGUUGGAGCCUUUUGGAAACCGAAACUCACAGUGUCCUGGGCAUAUUUAAAAUAUGUUUAGUGUAUUUAGAAUAUGUGCAGUAUAUUUAAAAUGUAUCUAAAAUGUCAAGAUCUUCUCAACAUUCUGUUCAUUGCCAAGCACUGAAACACUGUACAGAGUUAUAAAUUUGAAAGAUUCUGUAUUCUAUGACCUUUCUUGUACUAUGUAUGUUUUACAUGUUUUUCUUUAUCUAUGUGCGUAGCUCCUAUUAUUAAAAUUCAAGUAAA